rnacentral:rRNA from 1 species
AAUAUCGGACUAUGGGGGCUACCCUGAUCCAGCUCUGCAGCUUGUGUGAAGAAGGUCUUCGGAUUGUAAAGCACUUUAAGUUGGGAGGAAGGGCUUUAGGCUAAUACCCUGAAGCGUUGACGUUACCACCAGCAUAAGAACCGGCUAACUUUUCUCCAGCAGUCGCGGUAAUACAUAGGGUGCAAGCGUUAAUCUGAAUUACUGGGCGUAAAGCGCGGGUAGGUGGUUCAGUAAGAUGGGUGUGACAUCCCCGGGCUUAACCUGGGAACUGCUUUUAUAACUGCAAAGCUAGAGUACGGUAGAGGGUAGUGGAAUUUCCUGUGUAGCGGUGAAAUGCGUAGAUAUAGGAAGGAACACCAGUGGCGAAGGCGACUACCUGGACUGAUACUGACACUGAGGUGCGAAAGCGUGGGGAGCAAA